CAGUGGUAUUAUAAAACUUAAGUACUGCAAUUUUAGUCUGUAAUCUUAAUGUUCUCAAUUGGUCUGCAUUUUAUUUUUCCGCUUAGGAUAUAAGAUUGUUAUCGUAUGCGGAAAAGACGGCGUUUUUAUCGCAGCGCACUAUAAGCAGGUCACAUGGAAGAAGUUGUAGAAAAUAUGUCAGAUGCAGGCAACUAUUCCGUAAAGAGAGGUGAUUUUACAGUACCACAAGAACCACUAGGCCAAGAUAAAGUGGAACAAGGAGAAAAAGUAGAAGACGCUGACAAAACCAUACAUGACAUUCCCACAAUGAGAGUAAAUGAUGAGGUCAAAGAAAAACAUAUUAAACCAAUACCAAUGCCUGAUGAUAUUGAUAAAAAUUUGCAAGUAAAAAGAGAACGAUGGUGCUGCUGGGAUUCCUAUGUGUGUCCUUGGGAAAAGUUUUCAAGACCAGGAGUACUUGAUCUUCUUAAAUGGAAGAUUUGUGAAAAGACUCAUCCCAUUCCGAGCAAAGAGGAGCUUGAUAGGGUACUUCCUGUCAAGUCAAAUAUGGAUAAAAUCAAACAACCCCCUGCAGACAAAAUACAGGUCACAUGGAUUGGCCAUGCCACAAUGCUUGUUCAGAUGGAGGACAUGACAAUUCUUACUGACCCCGUUCUGGACUCAUUUUGCGGACCGAUCUGGCCCUUUGGCUACAAGAGACACAGAAACGCUUCCUGCCAGGUUAAGGACAUUGAAAAGCUUGAUGCUGUCAUCAUCAGCCACAACCACUAUGACCAUCUGGAGGCCAAGGCAGUGAGAGAAAUCAAUGCAAAAUUUAAGGAUGUGCAUUGGUUUGUUGCUGGCGGAACCAAGGCAUGGUUCCUAGCUAUGGACGUUGAGGAUAAAAAUUUGACUGAACUAGACUGGUGGCAUGGAGUGGAAUUCAAUGGGGUGAAAUUCAUUUGUACGCCAAGUCAGCACUGGUGCCAGAGGUGUAUAUUCGACUUAAAUACGUGCCUCUGGUGUAGUUGGGUGGUGAAAAGCUCAAAGCAUUCCUUCUACUUUGCUGGUGACACUGGAUACUAUGAAAAUCUUUUUAAAAAGAUUGGUGAGAAGUACGGACCAUUUGACCUGGCUGGAAUACCCAUCGGGGCUUACACACCAAGGUAUGCGUUGUCCUAUCAACACGUGGACCCUGCAGAAGCAGUGAACAUUCACAUGGAUGUUAAAUCACUUUGUUCAAUAGGCAUCCAUUGGGGGACAUUUAAAACCAUGUCAUGUGAGCCAUUUCUCGAACCCCCACGGUUAGUAAAGGAAGCUAUGGAAAGAAAAGAAAUGGACUGCAGCAAAUUCAUUUCAGUAGAUAUUGGAGAAACAUGGGUCGUUGGCGAUCAGCGGGAAGAAUCAAAGUUUAUGAAGUGUGAGGCUGAUAAAGAAGAAAGUGAGUCAGAAGAAUCAAAACCUCUUUUGAUGGGAAAGAAAAACUAAAAUUUUGACUUAUUUUGUAUUCGGGGAAGGAAGAAAAACAGGCCAUCACAGUAUUUAUUACUUAUUUAAUAGUACCUCUUGGAUUGAUAGUCAUUAGCAUGCAGUCCCAUCAGUAAAAAUAGAUCUUUAACAGAGUUGUCUGGGUCGUAAGGAAAAUGUAUUUCACAACUCAAUGUAUUUUCUACAGAAGUUAUUAUUAAUAUUGCUAUUAACGUAUCAUUAUAUUCUUGUUUUAAUCAGAAUAACUUUAUAUUUGUUUGUAUAAUAUUAUACUAGUAUAUGUAAUCAGUUUUUAUUCACCAAGAGUCUCUGUGAUAUUUAAUGGAUAGUCUCACCAAAAACAGUGGCUAUGUUUCAUUUAACAGAAUUUCAUAUUGAUUAUCAGUUCAUCUCUUAAAUACAUUGUAGUAUUUUUAAAAAACACAUACAUAAAAAAUGGGUGCAGAUGGCACACCCAAAAACCAAGAACAGAAGCAUUAUUCCUGUGAAUGAAAUGUAAAUAAUGGUACGUGGAUGAGAAAAUGUGCAUCGGCAGCAUCGGAAACAGUAGAGUAAGAAAAGUUUGAUAUAAGUGUGUUUAGAUUUGUUUAUGGUGUUCUGAUGACACAGUAUACUGAAAAAUAUUUUAUUGACAUGAGUGAUGAAUUCUUAAUUCUCAAUUCACUGAGACAUACCAUAGUCACUAAGUAACAAUUCAAAGGGAGUUUUUGCACUUAUUAUGCCCCCCUUGAAGAAGAGGGGGUAUAUUGUUUUGCACAUGUCGGUCAGUCCGUCUAUAGGUCCGUUCAUUAAAUGGUUUCCGGAUGAUAACUCAAGAACGCUUAGGCCUAGGAUCAUAAAACUUCAUAGGAACAUUGAUCAUGACUGGCAGAUGACCCCUAUUGAUUUUCAGGUCACUAGGUCAAAGGUCAAGGUCACAGUGACUCGUAACAGUAAAAUGGUUUCCGGAUGAUAUCUCAAGAACGCUUAGGCCUAGGAUCAUGAAACUUCAUAGGAACAUUGAUCAUGACUGGCAGAUGACUCCUAUUGAUUUUCAGGUGGUCACUAGGUCAAAGGUCAAGGUCACAGUGACUCGAAACAGUAAAAUGGUUUCCGUAUGAUAACUCAAGAAUGCUUAGGCCUAGGAUCAUGAAACUUCAUUGGAACAUUGAUCAUGACUGGCAGAUGACCCCUAUUGAUUUUCAGGUCACUAGGUCAAAGGUCAAGGUCACAGUGACUCGAAACAGUAAAAUGGUUUCCGGAUGAUAACUCAAGAACGCUUAGGCCUAGGAUCAUGAAACUUCAUAGGUACAUUAAUCAUGACUGGCAGAUGACCCCUAUUGAUUUUCAGGUCACUAGGUCAAAGGUCAAGGUCACAGUGACUCGAAACGGAUAAAUGGUUUUCAGAUAAUAACUCAAGAAUGCUUAGACCUAGGAUCAUGAAACUUCAUUCACACAAUGGCUGCCACUACAACUGACAGCCCAUUUGGGGGGCAUGCAUGUUUUACAAACAGCCCUUGUUUGUUUUGAUUUGCUAUUAGUUUUUGCUUUGUGUUUAUUCUUUUUUCAACUUUAUGCAAAAGGUAUUGACUGACAUGCUGCAAUUUCUGUGUAGGUUGGUAAAAUACCAACUAGGCUGAAAUGUACUUAAGAACCUUCUGAUAUUCUUUAUGAUCAUAGCACUGAAGUAAUUGUCCCAAAUUUUAAUAAAAAAUUAAAUACAUGCUAAAAUAUGUGAAAGAUCCUUUUAAUAAAAGAUAACAGAAGUA